GGAAUUAUUUUGAUUUAAUUUUUAGUUUUGAAAUUAAGAUAUUUCAUUCUAUUAUAAUUAGGAAAUUUAGGUUUCUAUUAUUUAAGAAUAUUUAAAAGGUUAUAGUAGAUUUAGGAUUUCCUAGUUAGUAUUGGGUUAGUAUUUUCCUACUUCGGGGUUCCUAAUCAUAGUUGGAUUAGUCAUUAGUCUGUAAAUACCUAUGUAACUUAGGUAUUUUCUGGUGAGAAAAUUAUUAUUGAAAAUUUAAAAUUAAUUAUAAUUUAGAUAGCUUUGUUCUUUUCCCCUUUGAAUGUCCUUACUUUGUAAUUCUACAUCAGGUAGAUCUUUU
rnacentral:misc_RNA from 1 species